UACGUAGGUGGCAAGCGUUGUCCGGAUUUAUUGGGUUUAAAGGGUGCGUAGGCGGCCCUGUAAGUCAGUGCUGAAAUAUCCCGGCUUAACCGGGAGGGUGGCAUUGAUACUGCGGGGCUAGAGUACAGAUGAGGUAGGCGGAAUUGACGGUGUAGCGGUGAAAUGCGUAGAUAUCAAGAGGAACACCUGCGGCGAAGGCGGGUUGCUGGGCCGACACUGACGCUGAGGCGCGAAAGCCAGGGGAGCGAACGGG
rnacentral:rRNA from 1 species